CUAAACGGAUGCGGUAACUCUGACUGUAAUAAAGUAGCAUAAUAAGUUGUCAUUUAAUUGGUGGAGAGAAUGAAUGGUUAAACGAACGUUUCAUUGUCUUAGGGGAGAGUUUUUGAAAUUGGAAAAUCAGUGAAGAUCCUGAUUUUCACCGUUAGACGAAAAGACCCUAUAGAGCUUGACUAUACUCCAUAACUUAUCUUUUAUGGAUUGGUAGUUUAGUUGGGGCGACUAUCUUUUAUAAUAAACAAAGAUAAGCAUAAUAAUAAUUUUUCAUUUUACUGUUUAAUUAAUAAAUUUAACAGUUAUUAAAGUAGGCUAUAAUGACCCAUUAGGUAUAAAAAAUUGACUUAAUGAUUAAUAAAUAAAAGCUACCUUAGGGAUAACAGGAUAAUUUUGUUUUAGAGAUCAAAUCAAAUACAAAGUUUGUCACCUCUAUGUUGAAUUAAGAUAUCCGAGCAAUGCAGAAGUUGCUUAAGGUAGUCUGUUC
rnacentral:rRNA from 1 species